GACGACCCACAUCGAAAUUUCGUUGUCCCGUGUAACUCUGAUUUUCGGGAGGUGUGACGAACUUCACCUCAACUUUCUUCUCGUUCAGGAAUGGACAGAUGAAAGAUUGACAGUCAAGGAUGAAAGUAAAGCUUACUAUUUGGACUCAUCAUGGGAAAAAAAUUGGAUUCAUUAUCCGUCACACUCCAAAGUUAUUUAAAAAUAACCGCCCCAAAAACGUAAAAUCUAGGAGGUGAUCGAAUUAAUGGACCACGCUAACCAGGAAGUCCCGUCAUGAAUUUUAAUUUGAUCAAAAGAACUGAUCAAAAUCGAGAGAUGACCAUUUGGAGACCAAACCUGGCAACGGAUCCUAUGGGGGCGAAGGUCCAUAGCGGUAAGAAGGAUGAAACGUGGAUUUGGAAAGAUGGCAAGGUGUACAGAACCCAGCAAAUUAAUCUUUCUCUACAAGAGAUCCAUAGAAGAGACAGAAACACUUUAGACAAAACAUAUUCUUUCGAUAUUUACGUCAAAGAUUUUUUCGAAAAUGACGUCUCACUCAAGUGGAC